CUGCUGCUGCCGUUGGAGGCCCGCGUGGCCUGAAGAGCCUGCGGGCCUCCUGGGUCCUGGGCUCCUGGCAAGCUCAGUGAUGCUCUCCCGGUGGAGUCUGGGGGCCUGGCCCUGAGGGCGCCGCCAGCUGAAAUCUGCCUCUUGAGCUAGGCCUGGGUACUGGCAGGACGACCCGGACGGGGUGCUGGAGGAGCGCUGCUGGGCAGGGAGACCAGCCCCUGCGGGGAUCCCCCUCUUAGCCUCGGCUUGGACCUGAGAGGGCAAAACUCGAUCCUUAGGACCUUGACCAACCAGGUUUUCUGAACACGAGGGAGAAAUGCAGGAAUAACAGGAAAAAACAAAACAAUAACAAAAGAACAGGAGAAGCCUUUAGGAUUGUAGAAGCAACUCUGAAGUUUGCUAAUAAAGAUAUCACCAAAGAUUCGAAGCAUAAUCAUCUAGAGGAAAUGCUGGUAGUAUGGCUGUAUGUGUAUGUUCAAAACUCUCUACAGCAGACGGUCUUGUUUUAGGGGCUGUCCAGAUUAUGAUUGGCAUAUUUCAUGUUUUCAUGUGGUACUUCCUACUGAUUUUGUAUAUGGGACAAAUUAGAGGAGUCUUUGGCACAUACGAACCUAUAACUUACAAAGCAGGAUGUCCUUUAUGGGGAGUCAUCUUUAUCAUUGCAGGAGUCUCCAUAAUAAGAGUAGCAAAGCAUCCAACUCCAGGCGUGAUUACAUUUGCUUUGAUCAUGAACAUCUCAUGCAUAAUUACUUCAGUUAUUGCAUCAGUUCUAACAAUAAUUGAGUUGUCUUCUUUUAAUUCGGUGUCAUACAGGAAUUAUGGACAAGCGAAACUUGGAAGGGAAGUUUCACGUAUUUUACUGCUCUCUUACUCCUUUGAGAUUUCUGUUGCGUUAACAUACACAAUCUUUGGCUGUAUUGGUUUGAGUCGUCAUAAUGAAGAUAGUCUCACAGCUGUCCCAGAGGAAUUUGAGAGUACUUUUUAAGAACCUUAAAAAUUGAAAAAUGCCAAGACGUCGUCUGUGGAUAAGAGAAGAAACAAGGUUGUUGGGGGCCAUACAAAUAAUGACUGGUCUGAUUGUUCACUUCGUGGGACAGCUCUGGACGUAUUUGUUUACCACACAAGUUAUUGCAUUUGGAAAAGCGUACCUUCCUCUUGUAGUAAUAACAAGAUACGCAUAUUGGUCAUCUGUGUGUUUUCUCUUCUCGGGAGUCUUUGCAGUAUUAACAGAGAGGAUGCGUUCAACGUUCUUGAUGUCCUAUACUAUGGCAGUGAACAUCGUAAGUGCCUGCGCUGCCGUGAUUGGUCUGCUUAUACUGUCAUUUGAGUUUAUAAUAUACAGUUUGACUACACAAGCUCCUAUUUGGCCCGAGAGAAGUGGUAAAAUCCUUUCAGAAUAUCUGUUUUUAUUCACCAUCUUGGAGUUGUUUACAGCGUGCACAGUGGCCCAUUGGAUAUACAAAGCUAAACAUCUCAGAUAAUAAAGAUGUGGUACACGGCAGAAGGGGAUCCUUUUCCUACAUAUUGAAGAACCGUAAUGACCUGAGUCAAGGAGGAAAGUGUAGUGGUGAAUGAAGAACUUCAUUUUGUUCAAGAGGCUUCUUGGAAAAUGCAUUUUAAUGAAGUCCAUCGUAGUAUUUCCUUUCCCGCAUUUCAUUAACAAAAAUUUUAAUUGAUAAA